rnacentral:rRNA from 1 species
AUACGUAGGGGGCGAGCGUUGUCCGGAAUUACUGGGCGUAAAGGGCGUGUAGGCGGGGGUGCAAGUUAUCGGUAAAACCCCGAGGCUCAACCACGGGCCUGCCGAUAAAACUGCAUCUCUUGAGUGCAGGAGAGGGGAAUGGAAUUCCCGGAGUAGCGGUGAAAUGCGUAGAUACCGGGAGGAACACCAGUGGCGAAGGCGGUUCCCUGGCCUGUAACUGACGCUGAGGCGCGAAAGCUGGGGUAGCGAACGGGAUUAGAUACCCCGGUAGUCCCAGCCGUAAACGAUGGUCACUAGGUGUGGGGGGUGUUCAAGCCUUCCGUGCCGGAGCUAACGCAAUAAGUGACCCGCCUGGGGAGUACGGCCGCAAGGUUGAA